rnacentral:rRNA from 1 species
UGGGGAAUUUUGGACAAUGGGCGAAAGCCUGAUCCAGCAAUGCCGCGUGUGUGAAGAAGGCCUUCGGGUUGUAAAGCACUUUUGUCCGGAAAGAAAUCCUUGGCUCUAAUACAGUCGGGGGAUGACGGUACCGGAAGAAUAAGCACCGGCUAACUACGUGCCAGCAGCCGCGGUAAUACGUAGGGUGCAAGCGUUAAUCGGAAUUACUGGGCGUAAAGCGUGCGCAGGCGGUUUGCUAAGACCGAUGUGAAAUCCCCGGGCUCAACCUGGGAACUGCAUUGGUGACUGGCAGGCUAGAGUAUGGCAGAGGGGGGUAGAAUUCCACGUGUAGCAGUGAAAUGCGUAGAGAUGUGGAGGAAUACCGAUGGCGAAGGCAGCCCCCUGGGCCAAUACUGACGCUCAUGCACGAAAGCGUGGGGAGCAAACAGGAUUAGAUACCCUGGUAGUCCACGCCCUAAACGAUGUCAACUAGUUGUUGGGGAUUCAUUUCCUUAGUAACGUAGCUAACGCGUGAAGUUGACUGCCUGGGGAGUACGGUCGCAAGAUUAAAACUUAAAUGAAUUGAC